AAGUCGUAACAAGGUAGCCGUAUCGGAAGGUGCGGCUGGAUCACCUCCUUUCUAGGGAAUACAGGAAGUCAUGGUACUAUUUUCUUUUGUAUGACCAUCUGGUUAUGCAAAAACAGUUAAAGAAGGCAUCUUAGGAUGCAUUUUUUAACGGGACAAAUACCGGAGUAGUGGUAGCAGGUCCCAAUCGAUCAUUGAAAACAGCAUAGUGUAUAAAUAAAAUUAUAAAAUACAAUUUCUUAACACGAAAACGUAAAUUAUUAGGAUCAAGAAGAAAAGAGCACAGGGUGAAUGCCUUGGCAAUCAGAGCCGACGAAGGACGCGACAAGCUGCGAAAAGCUACGUGUAGGUGCACAUAACCGUUAAAGCGUAGAUAUCCGAAUGGGGCAACCCA
rnacentral:misc_RNA from 1 species